rnacentral:rRNA from 1 species
AGAGUUUGAUCCUGGCUCAGGACGAACGCUGGCGGCGCGCCUAACACAUGCAAGUCGAACGAGAGAGAGGGAGCUUGCUUCCUUGAUCGAGUGGCGAACGGGUGAGUAACGCGUGAGGAACCUGCCUCAAAGAGGGGGACAACAGUUGGAAACGACUGCUAAUACCGCAUAAGCCCACGACCCGGCAUCGGGAAGAGGGAAAAGGAGCAAUCCGCUUUGAGAUGGCCUCGCGUCCGAUUAGCUAGUUGGUGAGGUAACGGCCCACCAAGGCGACGAUCGGUAGCCGGACUGAGAGGUUGAACGGCCACAUUGGGACUGAGACACGGCCCAGACUCCUACGGGAGGCAGCAGUGGGGAAUAUUGCACAAUGGGGGAAACCCUGAUGCAGCGACGCCGCGUGGAGGAAGAAGGUCUUCGGAUUGUAAACUCCUGUUGUUGAGGAAGAUAAUGACGGUACUCAACAAGGAAGUGACGGCUAACUACGUGCCAGCAGCCGCGGUAAAACGUAGGUCACAAGCGUUGUCCGGAAUUACUGGGUGUAAAGGGAGCGCAGGCGGGCGAUCAAGUUGGAAGUGAAAUCCAUGGGCUCAACCCAUGAACUGCUUUCAAAACUGGUCGUCUUGAGUAGUGCAGAGGUAGGCGGAAUUCCCGGUGUAGCGGUGGAAUGCGUAGAUAUCGGGAGGAACACCAGUGGCGAAGGCGGCCUACUGGGCACCAACUGACGCUGAGGCUCGAAAGUGUGGGUAGCAAACAGGAUUAGAUACCCUGGUAGUCCACACCGUAAACGAUGAUUACUAGGUGUUGGGAGAUUGACCCUCUCAGUGCCGCAGUUAACACAAUAAGUAAUCCACCUGGGGAGUACGACCGCAAGGUUGAAACUCAAAGGAAUUGACGGGGGCCCGCACAAGCAGUGGAGUAUGUGGUUUAAUUCGACGCAACGCGAAGAACCUUACCAAGUCUUGACAUCCCUUGACGAUGCUGGAAACAGUAUUUCUCUUCGGAGCAAGGAGACAGGUGGUGCAUGGUUGUCGUCAGCUCGUGUCGUGAGAUGUUGGGCUAAGUCCCGCAACGAGCGCAACCCCUAUCUUUAGUAGCCAGCGGUCAGGCCGGGCACUCUAGAGAGACUGCCAGGGAUAACCUGGAGGAAGGUGGGGAUGACGUCAAAUCAUCAUGCCCCUUAUGAGCAGGGCUACACACGUGCUACAAUGGCGUAAACAAAGGGAGGCAGAACCGCGAGGUCGAGCAAAUCCCAAAAAUAACGUCUCAGUUCGGAUUGUAGUCUGCAACUCGACUACAUGAAGCUGGAAUCGCUAGUAAUCGCGAAUCAGAAUGUCGCGGUGAAUACGUUCCCGGGUCUUGUACACACCGCCCGUCACACCAUGGGAGUCAGUAACGCCCGAAGUCAGUGACCCAACCGUAAGGAGGGAGCUGCCGAAGGUGGGACCGAUAACUGGGGUGAAGUCGUAACAAGGUA